rnacentral:lncRNA from 1 species
AUUACACAGACACACAGAGGCAUGACUAGACAGUAAUAAUUUAGAAAAAGGGAAUUAAUCCUGAAUGCUCAUGAGUAGAACCUGAAGAGCAACCACAUGAACUUGGAAGGGGACACUGUUCUGCUGACUCGUGAGUUCUGAUUUCACCCUCAGACCUGAUCUACAUCUACUUGUUUGACUAGAAGACUCUAAGUAAAGGCAUAUCACAGAUAGCAGGAUGUGUUCAUUGGUUUAAUGUUGACAACAAUCCAUAAAAAUAAUAACACUAGAAAAAUUUAAAAAUAAAUGG